UAGGGAAUCUUCGGCAAUGGACGAAAGUCUGACCGAGCAACGCCGCGUGAGUGAAGAAGGUUUUCGGAUCGUAAAACUCUGUUGUUAGAGAAGAACAAGGACGUUAGUAACUGAACGUCCCCUGACGGUAUCUAACCAGAAAGCCACGGCUAACUACGUGCCAGCAGCCGCGGUAAUACGUAGGUGGCAAGCGUUGUCCGGAUUUAUUGGGCGUAAAGCGAGCGCAGGCGGUUUCUUAAGUCUGAUGUGAAAGCCCCCGGCUCAACCGGGGAGGGUCAUUGGAACCUAGGAGACUUGAGUGCAGAAGAGGAGAGUGGAAUUCCAUGUGUAGCGGUGAAAUGCGUAGAUAUAUGGAGGAACACCAGUGGCGAAGGCGGCUCUCUGGUCUGUAACUGACGCUGAGGCUCGAAAGCGUGGGGAGCAAACAGG
rnacentral:rRNA from 1 species